rnacentral:rRNA from 1 species
AUGAAAGUAAGCGUUGGACACCAGCCAAAGGGUCAGCUAUGCCUGGUCUUAGCCGUGCUGGUUACCAUGGCAAUGCUCGGUGAGGCAGCGAGAAGCUUGCCACCACCUUCUCUUUCAGCAUCGCCAACGUAUGCUCCUAUCAUUAAGGUGAUAGGCAAAGCAUACUGCUAUAGAUGCUUCAACGAGGCACACCCAGAAGAAUCCCAUGGGAAGGAGCACCUGGAAGGAGCCAUGGUCAAGGUCACUUGCCAGGCCAAUGACCAGGCAAUAGUGGGAUUUGGCUACACCGAAAGCAAUGGCAAAUACAGUGUGGCCAUUACUGGUUUGCCACUUAGCGGCACCUUUGGGGCUGACUCAUGCAAGGUUGAGCUCCAUGCAGCAGCAGGAGGAUCUGACUGCAAUGUGCCCAUGGAGUUAAAUCUCUCUGGAGUUAGCGUUUACUCAAAGUCCAAUGAAGAAGUGGUUCUCCAAGCCAACCAAGUAAUGGCAUUUGGAUCAAAGAAAACAUUUGCUGGAUGUUCAAAACCUCACAUUCUACCAUCAAUGUAUCCAUCUAAUUCACAGCCACUCCCAUACCAGCAUCCCUCACCUCCAUCCAACUACAAAUCCCCACCAUUACCGCACCAGCAUUCGCCACCUCCUUCUAACAAGUUUCCACCUCCAUCAUAUCAGUAUCCAUCACCUCCACAGAACUUCUACUCUUCGCCGCCACCAUACCAACAGUCCACACCUUCAAACAACUACCAAGCUCCACCAACAUCUAACAAUCCAACACCAACCCACAAGUAUUUACCACCCCCAUACUACUACAACUCCCCACCUCCGAACAGCCACGUAGCUCCACCACUGCCAUACCUGCAGUCCCCGCCCCCAUACAACUACAAGUCACCUAUUCUACCAUUGUCACCAACGCCUCCUCAACAUUAUAACUCUCCACCUCCAUUUAACUAUGGAUCUUCACCCCCACCUUACCAAUAUUCUCCACUGCUGCCUCCAAAACAUCUACAACCAAAUGUUCCUCAUGCUAAUCCGCUACCAGCAUCAAUAUCUCCACGGUCUCUAUACCCCUAUGGCUCUCCACCACCAGCAUCAAUAUCCCCACAGCCUCUUUACCCCUACAGCUCUCCACCAUCAUAUCUGAACUCGUACCAAUCCCCACCACCACCGAUUCAGCUUCCUCAUGUAAAAUCGCCACCAGUUUCUUCAACAUCUCCACAGCCUCUGCACCACUACAGCUCUCCACCACCAUCGCUUCCAAACUCGUACCAAUCCCCACCACCACCGAUUCAGCUUCCUCAUGUAAAAUCGCCACCAGUUUCUUCAACACCUCCACAGCCUCUGCACCACUACAGCUCACCACCACCAUCGCUUCUGAACUCCUACCAAUCCCCGCCACCACCGAGUCACCUGUCAUAA